GUCUACGGCCAGGCCACCCUGAACAAGCCUGAUUCCGUCUGAUCUUGGAAGUUAAGCAGGGUCUGGUUAGUACUGGGAUGGGAGACCACCUAGGAAGACCAGGUGCUGUAAGCU
rnacentral:rRNA from 1 species